CCGGGCAAACAGCAUCAGCAACCAGCAGACAAUAAAUUGCGGGAAAAUCAAAAUUCAAAUGCUCAAGAAGUGUUUUCCCUCCCAAACACGUGUGGACAGCUCAACAAACCCUAAAGACACCUCAGCACUCAAUCCCACAUAUUUAGGAAGGCAAAUCUCAUCAAAAUACAAUUACCUUCCAAGAAUUCAACUCCAAUUGGGAAAAGGAGUCCCAACUCAAUAAGGAAACCCUAGGGCAGUCUCUUCAGCUAUAAAAGGGCAUGCAAACCAGCAGAUCUUUCACAUCUUUGGAUCAUCAUACAUCCUCGGCAGAAGUUGCAUCAGCAGCCGCACCACACCAGCAGGCCAAUUGGCCCCUUUUUCUCCUUCUUUUUGCUUUCUUUCUUUUCUUUUAUGUUAGUUUCAGCCAUGAGUGGCUGAAACCCUUUUUCUAGUUGAAGAAUAAGGUGAAACUUUGGUUGUUUAUGGAUUGGGAGAUCUGAACCUUCAUGUUAUUCUUUUAUUAAUCAGUAUUUAUGCAAUUUUGUGCUUAAUUUAUUGUUGCUUUGUUGUUUUGAUCAAAUUGGCCAC
rnacentral:lncRNA from 1 species